CUAACAAUUUGUAUUGGUUGUUAAUCAAUCAACGAAACCGAAUUAAGAGCAAGAAGACCAAAAAAGGAACAAAUAAAAAUGGAUCAAAGGUAAUCACAUUUCACCAUUGAUUCAAUUUAAUGUGAAUUAUGUUUACAGUCAAACCAAAUAUUGUCUGUCGUAUUGAUUUUCAUCCAUUCAUUUAACUCAAUUGAAAUCAGUACCAAUCAUAUUAUUACCAGACACACAUUAGUGCAAAUGUAAUUUUGAAAAUGUCAACCCAGAGAUUGAUUAACCAGUUUACCAACAUCAUGGAUACCCAAUAUUUGUAACAUCAAGUAAGUACAAUAACCUUAACUUGACCAAUAUUUACCAAUAUCACAAUUUAAUUUAAAUUUGACCUUAAAAGAAAUGUUUUUUUCUCUAUUUGCCUAUUUCAUCAGAUCGUAAAUGCAAGCUUUCAAUAUAAAUGGCGAAUAUCUCUCGAUUGUAUGGGAAUUGAUGUCAUUAAUUUCAAAGAUGGAACGCAAAGACCCAGAAGGAUCGUAAAUGUGUGUAAAAUGUUGCUAUUGUAACCUGCAAAAUUGAAAUGCAAUUCAAAGACAAACAAUUUGUUAUUCUGCAGAUAAGUGAACCUGAAAUAGAUCAAGAUUCAUCUUAAUGAAUUUGAAUUUGUGUUCCAACCGAUGAGCAGCAAAGAAAAGAUAGUGAUACGAAAAAAAAGCAAAGCAAAGCCUAACCUACUUAGCAGAAGAUGAAGAAAAGGAAACAUCUCAUGUUGACUCAUUUUCUCUGGUGAACUGGAAAUCCAAUGUUUGAAUAACCAUGUAAAAGGAGAUGUUUUCAUUGGAAUAAGGUUUAUCUUUGUCAAUGUGUUUGUUUUUGUGUCUUCUUUCAGUGGUGUUAACACCGUUCAGGAAGCUUAACUGUGUACAUUCAAACAUACAGAAGGCAAUAAUAUUAAAAGAUGAAACUUGAUUUAAUCAUUCUUAAUUGAAAUUGCCUGUUGGAUUGAAGGAGAAUCAC
rnacentral:sRNA from 1 species